UAACGCGUGAGAAUCUGCCCUUAGGACGGGGACAACAGCUGGAAACGGCUGCUAAUACCCGAUGUGCCGAGAGGUGAAACAUUUAUGGCCUGAGGAUGAGCUCGCGUCUGAUUAGCUAGUUGGUGGGGUAAGAGCCUACCAAGGCGACGAUCAGUAGCUGGUCUGAGAGGAUGAUCAGCCACACUGGGACUGAGACACGGCCCAGACUCCUACGGGAGGCAGCAGUGGGGAAUUUUCCGCAAUGGGCGCAAGCCUGACGGAGCAAGACCGCGUGCGGGAGGACGGCCUAUUGGUUGUAAACCGCUUUUGAUAGGGAAGAAGUACUGACGGUACCUAUCGAAUCAGCAUCGGCUAACUCCGUGCCAGCAGCCGCGGUAAUACGGAGGAUGCAAGCGUUAUCCGGAAUUAUUGGGCGUAAAGCGUCCGUAGGUGGUUGUUCAAGUCUGCUGUUAAAGCGUGCGGCUUAACCGCAUACCAGCAGUGGAAACUGGACGACUAGAGUGCGGUAGGGGUCAGGGGAAUUCCCAGUGUAGCGGUGAAAUGCGUAGAUAUUGGGAAGAACACCGGUGGCCGAAAGCGCCUGACUGGACCUGCACUGACACUGAAGGACAAAGCUAGGGUAGCGAACGGGUUAUAAACCACAUUUCUCCACGCUC
rnacentral:rRNA from 1 species